rnacentral:rRNA from 1 species
AUUGAACGCUGGCGGCAGGCCUAACACAUGCAAGUCGAGCGGAUGAAGGGAGCUUGCUCCUGGAUUCAGCGGCGGACGGGUGAGUAAUGCCUAGGAAUCUGCCUGGUAGUGGGGGAUAACGUCCGGAAACGGGCGCUAAUACCGCAUACGUCCUGAGGGAGAAAGUGGGGGAUCUUCGGACCUCACGCUAUCAGAUGAGCCUAGGUCGGAUUAGCUAGUUGGUGGGGUAAAGGCCUACCAAGGCGACGAUCCGUAACUGGUCUGAGAGGAUGAUCAGUCACACUGGAACUGAGACACGGUCCAGACUCCUACGGGAGGCAGCAGUGGGGAAUAUUGGACAAUGGGAGAAAGCCUGAUCAAGCCAUGCCGCGUGUGUGAAGAAGGUCUUCGGAUUGUAAAGCACUUUAAGUUGGGAGGAAGGGCAGUAAGUUAAUACCUUGCUGUUUUGACGUUACCAACAGAAUAAGCACCGGCUAACUUCGUG